UUUCGGCAUUUUUGUUAGACACGGCUGCCACACGCAUCUUCGCACUCGUCUUAUUCCAGUUGUCGCUUGACUCUUCACCACCGAAGGUGCCAGUGCACAUACACACACACACACAUACACACGGACACCGUUGCACCAUCCCUACUCCCUCCCUCACGCUCUCCUCCCCACCAUGAUGCAGGAGUUCCACGCGUUCUCGGUGUCCCCAAACAAGGAGCACAAGCUAGAGAUCCCGGCGGGGUGCGGCUUCCACCUCUCUGUCGUUUCGCUGCCGCGAGGCACCAACGGCAAGUCGACGGUUUACGUGUCGGCGGAUGGCAAGUCGUACGCGCUGGCCUCUCUCGACUCUCAGCAGAACGUUCUUCAGGCACCUACCGACCUUAUCUUCAACUACCAGCAGCAGGUCAUCUUUUUCGCGAAGGGCUCGGCGACAGUGCACUGCGUCGGCUACCGCCAGGAACUGGAUUUCAGCGACGACGACGAUGCGCCUUUCGCCAUGGAGAGCGGCAGCGAUGACGACACCCGUGACGCUAAGAAGGCGGCGGUAAAGCUGCCGGCAGAUGCCAUCACGGAUGCUGAGACGGCAAAAAGAAAACCCGCUGCUGCUGCGGCUGCCACCGAGAGCGUCUCCGAGGAUGAAGAGGAUGAGGAUGAAGAUGAGGAGCUGGCCGAUAGCGCCGAGGAAGCGUCUGCAGAUGCGGCGUCCGAUGAAGGGAGCGACGGAGAAGAAAUAGAGGAGGACGAGGACGAGGAAGAAGAAAAUGAUGAGGAGUACGACGACGAUGACGAGAUCGACAGCGACAUUGCCAAGGAGCCGAGGGGGAUGCAGGCCCGCCACGUUGACCCCACCGCCCCUUCUUCGGAGGACGAGGAGGAUGGCACCGAUGGCAACGAUGACGAGGAGAGCGAUGAAGAGAUGGACAGUGAUGACCUCGCCGCCAUGGAAGAGGACGAGGAGGACGUCGAUGACGAUGACAAGGAGGAGGCGGAGCCGCCAAUGAAGGUGAUACGCGCAGAGGGUCGUCCCAGCGGCGGCUCUCUGCAGAGUCGCCCGAGCGCUGGCGGCUCGCCGCAGGGCCUCAAGAAGAACGGUAGUGGCUCUUCGCAGGGCCGCCCUAACGGCCACUCCCCGCAGGGCCGCCCGAGCGCUGGCGGCUCGCCGCAGGGCCUCAAGAAGAACGGUAGUGGUUCUUCGCAGGGCCGCCCUAACGGCCACUCCCCGCAGGGCCGCCGCGGCUUGUGAGCGAUCGCUGCCGCCAAAGUUAAGCGUCACACGGGCAUUAAGGGAGGUGAAAGGCACCGGCGAACUCGCGGCACCGAAGGCGGCUGGGAUGGAGGAUGGGGAAGGCGUGCAAGGGGUCGACACUCGGCCUGUUCCUCCUCCUGUGCUCGGCCCCUCGGAUUCCAGCCCUCCUCUUGCGUGCGUCUCGUGCCCUGUCUCAUCCACAGAGCCCAUCCCCUACCUCUCCCUGUUUCCGUGUGCCAGCCGCUGCCUCGGUCGGCGUCAUCUUCCUCGUGUUGACCUCCUAACGUGUAAUGUUCUAGGCUCUCCUUGCCUUUGUUCGUCUCCCGUUGUGGGUGCUGCGGUGGGGCUGUCUUGUUGUCUCUCUCUAUAAGCUAACAUGUUGAGCAAGCACUGGGGGGAGGCGGAUAUGCGUGCCCGCGCACCUCUUCAUCUGUGGUGGAACAAUUUAAGUGCCUGUGUCUCUGUGUGUGCCUGAUGAGCGCUCGUGCUCUCUCGGUCCCGAUCUCGCCGCAUAUCCACGUUGUUUCUCUCGCCUUCGCCUGCCGCUGCGUGUAGCACGACAGACGACAGCGAGAAAGAGAGGCGCGUGCCAGAGAGCGGGAAGAAGAGGGAGGGAGGGAGGGAUGACGAGCACAAGGCCGCCGUCGAGGGUGGUAGCGUUGGGCUUCAGCGCAUAUAUUGUUGCUGCCCGCCUGUCUGCUGCACCAUGUGCACGGUCGGGCGUGUGAGCGCCCGCUGCCCGAUGUGUGUCUCGGGUGCCACCGCGUAUUCCAUCUUGUUGUUGGUCAGAAGAUGCUUAACCUUCCUGAGUUUGUCGUCGCCGCCUCUUCCCUUCACUCUCCCUAGUCGCGCAUGCCGGGUGGGCGGGAGAGGGAGUCCGAGGGGGUGGGGGAGUGGGGAGCGCACGCUCCCCACACGAUGGGUUGCCGUGCACUGCGAAAAGGACUCGAGUCCCACACGGACAGCACCACGACACGAUCGCCCCACGCGGGGCGCAAAGAACAGCUCAACGGUGGCGGCAGACGACACAUAGGAUCACCUCCGCCGCUCCGUGGCGGCAUGAGCGAAGCAUAAAACAUACGAACG
rnacentral:misc_RNA from 1 species